AGGGGUAUAAUAUAGUGGUAGUAUGAUGGUCUCCAAAACCAUUCGCGAGGGUUCAAAUCCUUCUACCCCUGCCA
rnacentral:tRNA from 4 species